AUUCCUUAAUACCACAUAAUCAAAGAGUAAAUAAAAUCAAUUUUUUAAAAAAGAAAAGAAACUACAUAAAUCACAAGUUUUUUCAAGGAAACUCUGCUUUGUCUUUGUUGGUAUUAAAUUUCUCCAUUUUCAAAGGUAUCCAUUUGAAGUAAAUGCCUUUAGGGAAUACAUAGUAUAUAAGCUUUUCACUGAGUCUCUGUGUGGUUUUCAAGCUUUUAUAACUUGAGCUGUCAUAUUAUCAAAGGAUUAGUCUAUAAAUAUCACUUAGAGGUAAAAUAAUUCUCCCCUUUACAUCUAAUACAAACUCAAAUUUUGCUAACUAUAGAAUUUUAUUCUUUUGGUAGACUUCUAAAAUAAUGACUACUAUGUAAUAUAGCCAACAAAUUCGCUACAAAAUGCCACUUCAAGCUUUUCUUUAUACUGUCUCAGAUUAUAGGAAUAAAGUAGAUGAGUAUAAAAAAAGAAUAUAAAAUGAUAAAACUCAUACACUGGAAACCCCCGAUUUUAUGAUCUAAAAUGCUGUAAAAUAGGUUUUUCCAAUAUCAGAGUCUAUAUUGCUAUGUAAGUAAGUUACGUUGUUAAGAAUAAUGUAGAUAACAGCUAAGCCAGAAAAGACUAAAAUCU